GGGGAAGUAAAAGUCGUAACAAGGUCUCCGUUGGUGAACCAGCGGAGGGAUCAUUACCGAGUUUACAACUCCCAAACCCCUGUGAACAUACCUAUAAUUUGCCUCGGCAGACUCAACGACGGUGCUCCGAGAGAUCGGGCGCCGCUCGCUGCCAGAGGAACCCCAAACUCUAUGUAUUCUUGUGGAUCUUCUGAGUAAAACAAAACAAAUAAAUCAAAACUUUCAACAACGGAUCUCUUGGUUCUGGCAUCGAUGAAGAACGCAGCGAAAUGCGAUAAGUAAUGUGAAUUGCAGAAUUCAGUGAAUCAUCGAAUCUUUGAACGCACAUUGCGCCCGCCAGUAUUCUGGCGGGCAUGCCUGUUCGAGCGUCAUUUCAACCCUCAAGCCCCUAGGGCUUGUGUUGGGGAUCGGCGAUAGUCGCCGUCCCCCAAAUCUAGUGGCGGUCUCGCUGUAGCCUCCAUUGCGUAGUAGCUAACACCUCGCAACUGGGACGCGGCGCGGCCAAGCCGUUAAACCCCCAACUUCUGAAUGUUGACCUCGGAUCAGGUAGGAAUACCCGCUGAACUUAAGCAUAUCAAUAAGCGGAGGA
rnacentral:rRNA from 1 species